rnacentral:rRNA from 1 species
CCUACGGGGCGCAGCAGUCGAGAAUCAUUCACAAUGGGGGAAACCCUGAUGGUGCGACGCCGCGUGGGGGAAUGAAGGUCUUCGGAUUGUAAACCCCUGUCAUGUGGGAGCAAAUUAAAAAGAUAGUACCACAAGAGGAAGAGACGGCUAACUCUGUGCCAGCAGCCGGGGUAAUACAGAGGUCUCAAGCGUUGUUAGGAAUCACUGGGCGUAAAGCGUGCGUAGGCUGUUUCGUAAGUCGUGUGUGAAAGGCGCGGGCUCAACCCGCGGACGGUACAUGAUACUGCGAGACUAGAGUAGUGGAGGGGGAACCGGAGUUCUCGGUGUAGCAGUAAAAUGAGUAGAUAUCGAG